CAACUGCAAGAUAGUUGUGGAGGGAUUCUUUUGGCCCAUACCUCCAACAACCUCCCAGCUAGAACCAAUGGACAUCUACACCAGGUGAUGUGUGAGGAGGACCGUCAGAGACUCCAGCCACCCGAGCUAUGGAUUGCUCUCACCGUUACCAUCAGGCAGAUGUUAUCGCAGAACCUUUACAGAGCCAAGACAAGUUCUUUCCACAGGCAAUCAGAUUGAAUUGGACUUGUACCAGUAACACCACACACACCCCACCAGCCUCAUAUGCACUGCACUCUAUCACUUACACUUACUGGACUCUGACUCACUAUUAUUCUGCACCCUGACAUUCUGUUUGCACUAAUUCAUACCGUGCUGCACUGCAAAGGUAUAUGUGUACUGUGAUUAAUGUGUUUAUUAUUGUUUUCAUUUCACGCUCUCUGUAUAGUAUAAUAUUUACCAUAUGUUGUUCUCUACCUGUAUUGAGUCCCUUAUACAUGUGUGUUGCAUAUAUAUUCAAUACUUUUCAUCCAUAAUGUCAUGCUGCAGUUUGCACAAAAGACUUUCACCACCUGUACACUUGCGUUCAUGUUAUUGUGACAAUAAAGUGAUUUGAUUUGAA